rnacentral:rRNA from 1 species
UACGUAGGCAGCGAGCGUUGUUCGGAAUUACUGGGCGUAAAGCGUGCGUAGGCGGUGCCUCAAGUUUGGUGUGAAAUCUCCCGGCUCAACCGGGAGGGUGCGCCGAAAAUUGAGGUGCUCGAGUGUGGGAGAGGUAAGCGGAAUUCCUGGUGUAGCGGUGAAAUGCGUAGAUAUCAGGAGGAACACCGGCGGUGUAGACGGCUUACUGGACCAUAACUGACGCUGAGGCACGAAAGUGUGGGGAGCAAACAGG